AUGCGUGGAUGGCAGCUCAGGAUCAGCCUCAUGAAAAUCUUAUAUUCCCUGAGGAGGUUCUACCACGUGGAAACGCUCUUUAAUGGAACUUUCGUUUUAGCUGGUUGUGACCAAGAAACCACCGGCUUUGCUUGGUGGGCUGGGAAUGCCAGACUUAUCAAUUUGUCCGGUAAUGUAAUCAGACUAAAUAAGGUACCAUUAGUUUUCCCAUGA
rnacentral:rRNA from 1 species